GAACUCACAGAGAUCCGCCUGGCUCUGCCUCCCAAGUGCUGGGAUUAAAGGCGUGCGCCACCACCGCCCGGCCUGUUCUUAUAUCUUAAAUUAACCCAUUUCUAUAAAUCUAUACCUUGCCACGUGGCUCGUGGCUUACCGGCAUCUUCACAUGCUGCUUGUCAUGGGAGCAUGCUUUCUUAAAGUAUCUCAGAUGAUAGAAAUGUUGGCAUGGACAAGAACACCAGUAUGGUGGUCAGGAUGCUAAGCAGGCAACUUAGAGAAAAGAAUCAGAGGCCUCCUUUUUGGCCCCCAAAUGUUUAUAUUCUACACUUACACCUGAAUAAAGGUGUUUCUUCCAAGAAAGGCUAUAGAUCAUCUGUCAUUAGGUCAAAACAAUAUUCCAUGAUGCUAAUUCUGAGGGGGAGAAAAAUAGAUCUUCAUUUUUCUGGGUGUCUCUCGUCUUUCACAAUCCAUUUUUGGGUGCCUUUUGGGGGGACACUGAUAUAUCAAUGAAAUUUCAGUAAAAGAACAGGUGUCCUAGAGAAAUAGGGAAGGCCCACAGCUAGGUCUUCCCUGGAAAGUGCCAAUACUUCCAGCCACAGGGGAGUGACUGGUGCCUGCACAGAGAGACACUUUCUGCUAAUUCCCUUGCUGGCUGCUGAUGCCAUUAUGUGACUUGAAUUGUUAAAUAACUGUCUUUAAUUGGACUUAGCUGCCUUUGUCUGCCAAAUGCAACCACAGCCAGCAGCCACAUUCCACCAGCUGACUGUAACCCAUGUUGUUGGGAACCAUCUGAAGCCCUGAGCAUCAGGGAGAAUUGCUCCUUUACUCGAAUAACCUUUAACAAAUGUUUUGUUUUAAGUAAAUUUAUUGGGUCCACUUCUCCCUCCUGUUUCCCCCUGGGAAGCAAAAAAUUGAUUUCUUCUGGGAAUGGAAAGCUCAAUACAAAAGCUCUUUCCUUUUCCCUGGAGAAAGUGUUUCACAAUUCUUCUUGGUGUUACAGAAAACCCGCUCACUUUCUCUUUCCCUCUUCUCCCUGUCACUUCCCCUCUCUCCCUUUGUUCUUUCCUUUCCUCUUUCACUUCUGUUCCAUAAGGAGAAGAGGUGUGUGACUCCUGCCCUUGUCUCCACAUUCACUCCAAGUCCUCUGUGACUAUGACAAGAAGACCCAAGUCCAUUAAUCAUCUCAACUGAUGAAGUGCUAUGAAAUUAAUCUGUUAGUGCUUUCCUCUAACAUGAGGAUGAGAUUCCUGUCUUUGCCUUUUUUUCUACUAACGUGUAGAAGGAAAUAUAUAAGAGAUGUAGGAUUUAUUUAAGAACACUCCUAGCUCAUCAGUGGUGGCACACACCUUUAAUCCCAGCACUCAGGAGGCAGAAGCAGGUGGAUUUCUGUGAGUUCAAAGCCAGCCUGGUCUAUAGAGAGAGUUCUAUACUCCUAAAGUUUUCUAAACUCUUUCAAAUAAUAACCUAUGAUUUUUAUUUAUUUGAUAAACAUUUUGGUACAUGCUGUGAUGGUUGAUCUUCAUCACUAACUUGGCUAGGAUUGGAAUCACCUAAGUGAUAGGUGGGAUGUGCCUGUUGAUAUGUGUGAAGGUGUUUUCAGAAGGGAUUACUGAAAUAUCAAAGAUUCAUCCUGAAUGUAGUGUCGUAGUUGCUUUUAUUGUUGUAGUGAUAAAAUACCCUAACAAAAGUAACUUAAACAAAAGAGGGUUUAUUUUGGUUGCAAUUUGGAGGUACAGUUUCUCCUGACUGGGACAUCAGGCAGCAAGAGCUCAUCACAACUGGUGACAUGGUGUCUAAUGUCAGGAAGAAAAGUGCAAUGAAUGCUGAUGCUGGCUUAGCAUUCUCCUUUUUAUGUACUCCAGGACCCAAACCUGGGACGUGGUGUAGUUCACUUUCAGGGUAGGUCUUCUCACUCCAAUUAACCUAAUUAAAAUAAUCUUUAACAGGGAUGACCAUAAGCUAACAUAAUUGAAGUAAUGCCUCACAGGUAUUCCCGGAGGCUUAUCCUCUAGAUAAAUCCAGAUCCUGUCAAGUAUUACUAGAUAUCACAGUGGGUCACACCAUUCUAUGUGUAGAGGAUCCCAGAUAGAUAAAAGGAUAACAAUUGGAACUCAUCUAGGUACCAGCAUUCCAUCUUGUCUGCUUCCUGGUAUGUUUUAGCAUGAGCUUUGGUAGGAACUGCAAAGACACAGAGGACCAAAGAUUCACAGAUGCACCUGGGUAUGAAGAGUCCAGUGUAUUAGUCACCUGAAGGAUGCAAGUUGGUUUGGCCAACUUCUAGCUGGAUCAGAAGAAGGAUGGGGUCUGUAGAAAGAGAAGGCCAGAGUCUUUAAGGAGGGACUUUGGACCAAAGCUGAAGGAGAAGUUUGAGUAGAAUGGUAAUGUGGUCAGGACCUUACUUUUAAAAGAUACAACUUGGUUGCUUCUUGACUUUUGGCUUUGCUUGAGUCUGAAGGAUAUUCUUAAUUAUUGUAUAAACACUAACUUCCUGAGCUACCUGAAGUGUUCAUGGAGGGAGUUGGUGACAGUUUGGAUAUUGGUCAUAGGAGUGCAGAAGGUGGCAGCUAACUAGAUUCAGAAGAAGACAGUCAGUUCUCCUUAUCCAUAGUUUGCAUUCAUGGAAUCAGCUUGUUAUGGACAGAAAAUACAGAAAAUGAAAGCAUAGUAUCUUUACUGAACAUAUUCAGACCUUUCCUAUUACUUUUGUUUAAUUAUAAUGCAGAAUAACAGCUAUUUCAUGGCCUUCACAUUAUAUUAUGUAUUUAAUGAUGGAGAUGAUUUAAGAUAUGUGCAUAUUAUAUAUAACUAUGACAUUUCAUUCAAGGGAGAUGAGCACUCUUAUAUUUUUAUAUUUCAGGGAGUCUUAAUCAGUUCCCUGUGGACUCUAGGGGAGUGUGUGCACAUGGGCGAGCGUGUGUGUGUGUGUGUGUGUGUGUGUGUGUGUGUGUGUGUGUGUGUGCCUGCCCAUGUACAGAUACACUUGUAUGUAUGCAUAUAACUUUAUUUGAGGUUUAUAAAAACAGAGUAUGGAAGAGGAGCAUACAUCUUAAAUUUAAAGCUAAUUACACAUACAAGAGAGAAUAUGUGUGCUAAUACAGGUUUUUAAAAAUAAUAUUUUUCUGGGGUCCAGUCUUGACUUGGGUUCAGGUCCUGAGAAAGAGAAGGGGUGUUGGAGCAAGGAAAACUUCUGACCACCAAGUGGAUUGCACUCAAGUGGCCCCAAAUAUCUCAGGCUGUCUUUAUUUAUACUUAAAUAGAGUUUUUCUUACAUGAACAGCUUUAUUACUGGCUUCUAUUUUUGACUUUAAGGAAUACAUCACAAUUUAAGUAAUACAUCAUGGUCAUUAUAAAAGCCCCCAUUGUUUAUGGUGAUAUUUUGUUUGUACUGAAAUGUGAUUUUAUUUGUAUGUUAAUAAAUAAAGUUGCCUGGGGGUCAGAGCUAAUAGCAAGCCAUAGCAGAAGCUGAGUGGUGGUGAUGCACGCCUUUAAUCCCAGCUCUUGGGAGGCAGAGCUAGGCAGAUCUCUGUGUGUUCAAGGAUACAGCCAGCAUGGAGACACACACCUUUAAUCUCAAUACCAACCAUAGAAGACCUGGAGGUCUGUAUAGACAGGCAGUGACGAGGAGGUCAUGUGGUUGGGUUUACAACCAAUGAGAAGGCAGAAUAGAAGUCUAUAAAAAAGACAAACAGACAGGAAGUAGCUCUCUUGACUGAAGAGGACAGCAGCAGCAGUGAAGGGUAAGGUUUUUAGCUCUUAGCUCUGACCUCUUGGGCUUUCAUCUCUGCAUUGGCUCUGUGUUUCUUAUUUAACAAGAUGGUUAAAUCUACAUUUGGUGCCCUCACCCCAAUACCUGGCUCCAGGUUCGAUUUUAUUAAUAAGAACUUUUAAGAUUCCUGCUACAAUUGUUCUCUUUUAUGCUUCUCCAAAUACACCUUCCCACCCCCUGCAUAAUCUUAUUUUAGACAAAGAGUUCAGCAUUUUUGUAGGCUUAACUAAAUAUCGAGCCAGAUACAUCUUACUCUUGGAGCACUUAUAUCAGCUGGCAGGUACUUGAGGUUGCAAAGUUAUAAAGUAAUAGACAUGGGUACAAUGCUUUAAGGACAACAGUAUUAAAACCCAAACAAUUCUUUCACGUCUGCAAGAUAUAUUUUUAUACAGUUCCAUUUUCCAAAAGAGGGUCCCAUGCCUCAAUCUUUCUGUAAAAGGCAGACCUUGAUAAAGCACUCUUUUCCCAUCUCAUUAUAUGAUACUUCUUCCACCAAUAUGAGCUUCUAUGUAUGGUAAAGAUGGAUCUAUCCAUCCCACAUUUUGCACUGUAUUUUGUCCUCUUAGAGCAUACCAGAUCCUACCUAAGAUUCUAUGCUUGGUGUCCAGGGAACUUACUCUCAACUGUUGGCAUUAUGUGUAUUCCUGAGGCCUUUUCCCUAUUCUGUGUAUGCAUGCCCUACUCUCCUUUCCAGAACUGUGAGACAGGGUUAAUAUUCUAAGUGUUGUUUCAUCAUAUGUACAUAACUGUCUCUAUUGAGCCAGAAAAAUUCCCAAGAUUGAGAAUUGUAGUUAGUAAUUCCAGAUAAGAGAUUUGAGAAACAUUAACCCCCUGUUGAAUCUUAGGGGAAAAUAUUUGAGAAAGAGCAGAAUUUCCAGGGAAAAUUACAGCAAUUGCAUGUAUGACUGACACAGUAAAACUAAAAAUAACCUCCAAAUCACCAAUAUAAUGAGAGAGAAAAGAGCCUGCAAGCUGCAUAAAGUUUGCAAAUUACUAUGCUGUCCUGUGGACUACUGGUCCUUGCCAAGUGAGAGUCUGUUUCUACGGGUGCCUUGCCCUGAGGAAACCCAUUGGACAGAUAGUCAUAUGCUGAUCCAAGACUAGGCUGCACAGCUCCCAUCAAAAUUUGAAUUUAUUCUUUGAGAAUUUCACACAAUAUAUUUUGAUCAUAUUCUUUUUCCUCUCCUAAAUACUAGAUCUUCCCAACCCACCAAACUCAUGUUCUUUCUCUCUCUUAAAAAAAAAGUAACAACAUCUGGGUAUCCUGGUGCACACAUUGAAUCCCAGCACUAGGGAGGCAGAGGCAGCUGGAUCCUUGUGAGUUCUAGGCCAGCUUGGCCUACAAAGUGAGCUCCAGGACAGCCAGGGCUGUUACACAGAGAAACUCUGUCUUGAAAAACAAGCAAGCAAGCAAGCAAACAAACAAACCAAACCAAAAUAAAAGUAACAACUAAAAAUGAAACUACUCCUGCACAUAGGGUGUAGCUUGGAGUGUGGUUGAUAUAUCCAAUGCCAAUUCAUUGAAGAAAAUUGACUCUCAUUCCUCCCAGAAGCUGUCAGUUGUGAAUAACAUUUUGGCUAGUGGUGGGACUUCACGCACACACUUGUCUUCUUCCAUUCUGGGAUUUUGUCUGCCUUGAGGUUGUACAGGUCUUGUGCAUUCUGUCAUGGUAUCUGUGGGUUCAUAUGUGCAUCUGUCCUGUUGUGUCUGGAAAAUAUUGUUUUCUUGAAGAACUACAUCACUUCUACCCCUUACGAUCUUUAGAUUAUGGUAAGGAUGUGGGGAAAGGGUGGCAAUUAUUCAUUGCUGGUGGGAGUGAAGACUAGUGUAAGUCAUUGUGGAAAUCAGUGGGGAGGUUUCUCAAAAAAAUGAAAAUUGAUCUACCACAAGAACCAGCUAUACCACUCUUGUAGAAAUACCCAAAGGACUCUAUAUCUUAUCACAAAUACUUGUUUAUCAAUGUAUAUUGCUGCUCUAUUCAUAAUUGUCAAAAUAGGAAAAAAACCUAGAUAUCCACCAUCUAAUGAAUAUGUAAUGAAAAUACAUAUAUUUACACAAUGCUAUAUUUACCCAAUGGAAUAUUAUUCAUCUGCCUCAAAAAUGAUAUGUCUUGGAAUAACUCUAACCAAGCAAGUAAAAGACUUGUAUGAUAAAAAAACUUUAAGAUAUUAAAGAUAUCAGAAGACAGAUAAAACUCCCAUGCUUGUAGAUCAAUAGGAUUAAUUAAUAUAGUAAAAUGGACAUCCUACCAAAAACAAUCUAUGAUUCAAUGUAAUCUCCUAUCAAAAUUCCAACACAAUUCUUUACAUAUCUUGAAAUGACAAUUUUCAGCUUCAUAUGGAAACACAAAAAGCCAAGGAUCACUGAAACAAUCCUGAAUAAUAAAAGAAGUGCUGGGUGUCACCAUCCCUGAUUUCAAUUUAUACUAUAGGACUAUAGUAAUAAAAAGAGCAGGGUAUUGGCAUUAAAAACAGACACAUUGAUCAAUGGAAUCAAAUUGAAGACCCAGACAUAAAUCUACACACAUAUGGACGUUUGAUUUUUAGAAAGAAGCCAGACCUACACACUGGAAAAAAGUCAGCAUCUUCAACAAAUGGUGCUGGUCAAACUGCAUGGUUGCGUGUAGAAAAAUACAAAUAGAUACACACUCAUCACCCUAUACAAAGCUGAACUCCAAAUGGAUCAAAGACCCUAAAAUAAGACCUGACACAAUGGAUUUGAUAGAAGAGAAAGUAUGGAAUAGUUCAACAGUGAACUCAUUGGCAAAGGAAAGACUUUCUGAACAGAACACUUUGAUCACCAGUUUAUUAAUUGGAUCUCAUGAAGUCAAAAAGAUGCUGCAUGGUAAAGGGCACAACAUGGCAGCCUACAGAAUGGGAAAAGGUUUCUUACCACCUAUGCAUCCAAUACCAUCCAAUAGAGGGCUAAUAUACAAAAUAUAUGAAGAAUGUAUAAAAUGGGUAUCAAAUUAAUAACCCCAUUAAAAAUUUUGGUAUAGAUCUGGACAGAGAAUUCUCAAAAAAUGAAAUUCAAAUGGUUAAGGAGCACUUAAAGUUUAUUAUCUUUAGUCAUCAGGGAAAUGAAAAUCAAAAUUACUUUGAUAUUUCAUCCUACACCUACCAGAGCAACCAAAAUCAGUAAAACAAAUGACUGUAUGCUGGCAAGGAUUCCGGAUAAGGUAAAUUCUCAUCCAUUGCUGGUGGGAGCACAAAUUCAUACUGCCACUAUGUAAAUCUGUGUGGCGGUUCCUCAUGUCUUGUCUGCAAAAGAUGCCAAUGCAAAAUUGGCACAAGACUUGUUGGAGUAACCAACCAAUAUCUGAUUUAACUUAAGGCCCACUCCAUGAGAUGCAAUAAAUACACAGAAUUGCUUUGGCAGACCAAGAACCGGAGAUUAGAUGUCAGGACCUGCUGACCUAUCAAACAGUACCUGAACAGGGAGUGAAGAUUAAGAAAGAAACACACAAGAGACAGAAGAUGAAAUAAGGAGGGCUCUCAGUGAAUACUGCAGCAGCCCAGAAUUUAUUUCUCAUAGCCUUUUUAUAUCCAAAGCAAGGGGGGUAAAAGACUUCCUUAACAUGGUUCAAGGAACAAAGCAGUGUAAACACCUCCUUAAUUCUCAAAACAUCUAGUAACCAUGCCUUUGGCCAAUCAUAUUGUUAUUUAGCUUAAGGAGCAAAAAUAAGCUUGAACUCUCUGACCUUAAGUCAAGAUGGAAUCAAGCCAUGAGCUGAAGUCACUGUGGGCUCCCACAAUUAGACAGCCAGGACAUAGGGUAAAACCAAAUACUGUUCUAUAAAAGGAAGAUAGCAAUAAAAUGAUUUAAUGGCUCUGCUAUAAUCACAGAUCAGUGACUAGCUCAGCCAUCAUCGGAGAAGCUUCUCCCUGCAGCAGAUGGGAACAAAUGUAGAGGCCCACUGUCAGACAAUACGCAAAUAGUGAGAGACCUGGGAACACCCAGCCCUCAACAGGAUGUCACCAUUAAAUUCCUCCCCUCAGGCUCAGGGCACCUCGUAGAAGAGGAACCCUAAAGGGUGUUUUGUGUGUAUGUCAUGGCUACUGAUUUUGUGUUUUUUAUGACAUUUCUGAAUGUGUGAACUUUUUUACUCUGCAUCUAUAUCUGUUACUUUUGCCUUUUCAUGGGUUCUUUACCUUCUGUUUGCUUUGUUAAAUUCUGACUUGUUUGUUUUGUUUGAUCAUACUACAUUUUAUUAUUAUCCCUUAGAUGCUCAUUUGUUUUCAAAGAAGAGACAUAAAGGAGGAAUGGAUCCAUAUGGAAGGGUAGGAACUAGGAGGAGUAGAGGAAAGAGAAAACAUAACCAGUAUAUAUUAUAUGUGAAAAACCCUACUUCAAUAAAAAAGAAAUACUGUGUGUAUAAGAGAGAUCAUCCUACUUUUUUUUCCUGCAUCUGGGUUGAGAUGAUAUAUUCUGAAGGAAACAGAAGUUUCAGGAAUUCGAAGACUGCUUCAUAAUAAGCCUCUUAUUGCCCCUCUACACCUUAGAUGGUUCUAAGUUCACUGAAGGUACCGUAGGAAACUUCUAUCCAAUGCCACAAACAGGUUUCCUUGGCAUAACCAUUAGCAGCUGAAGGGUGAAUGCUGAAGGGAGAGUCUGUAGACUAUUUGCUUGACUUGCAAAUAUAUGCUCAAGGGGGUGGGCUGGGAUCCUUAAGAGGUAGUUGGUGUUCUUUCCUUGAGGACAUUAGUCCAUUCAUGAAAAUAAUUGACUAAUAGACUAAUUAAUUCACAAAGAGUUAAUAUCUCAAGAGUAAAUAUGCUAUAAUGCCAGUUUGGUUAGGUUCCUCAUGCUCUUCUGUCUCUUGCCAUGAGAUUUCUCAUUCCAUCUUGGGAAAACACCAACACGAAGAUGACCACUAGAUGUGAUUUUCUGACUUUAUAUCAAAUCAUGAGCCCACAUGAUGUUAAAUAAAUUAUUUAAUGUGUGGUAAAUGCAGAGAAAGUGUAGGGGUGAAGGGAGUCCUUGCAAAUGGAAGCCCAGAAAAUGGAAAAGCUUGAGAGUGUCCUGUGGGUUACCAACAAAACUCACUAGCAGAUCCACCCAGCAGUGACACUGCAGAUGAAGGUGGUCUAUGACUUGGUGAUCUAAAUGAGUCUCAUAAAGCAGUUAAAUGUAGGUUUGAGAAGGUGGGGAAGUAUUUUGGAGAGAGAGAAUCCAUAUUGUCUCUCCUGAAACCAUAGAUAAUUGUUGGAAGCCUAAUUUACCAAAUCAGAGGUAUAUUUUUGACAACUUCUUUCAGGCAAAUGUUAAUCUUUAUUUUUGCAUCCCUUAAUUUGUAUAGGGCCAAUUGCUUUUGGAGAAAACUAUAUGAUGAACAUUUAUAUAAUAAAUUUCAUAGUAAUGACGAAAGGCAUGAAGAAGCUCCACCGUAUUCUGUUAAAAAUUUGGUGACUAUAUGCAAUGCUAAGCUCGAUCUACACUCAGAUAAUUACUUUCUAUGAAGUGAACUUAACAAAAGGUGUGCUGUCAGCUUUCCCAAUUAAAGUGUCCAUCUGCUUUUGUUUUUGAGUUAAAUUUUGCCUAUGGUAGCAUACUGUACAAUAAAUGUCUCUUUUUGGCUUGUGCUGUUGUAUGUGAUUGACAGGUUUUUUUUAGUUCAGCAUGCACAUAACGAGCAUGAACAAAUAAAGAGAUGCGUAAUGAUGAGCCUUAAUGAAAGAGGCUGAAAGAGUGAGCUGGAAAGUACCUAACAUGGUAAGCAGUGCAAUCCGCUAAAAUUAGAAGGGUGGGGGUAGGGAAGAAGGAAGGGAAACAGAGUGGGAGAAAAAAAACGAGAUAAGAUGAAGAAAAGAGAAGAGAAGGAAGGAAAAAGAGAAGAAAUGUGUGAGAAGAGAGGGAUGGCAGGGGGAGAGCUGGAGCAAAGAAAGCUAUGGGAAGAGACAAAGCAGUAGUAUAGUGGCUGAGAGAAGGAGGCAGUGCAUUAGGAUUGAGGAAUUUGCCACAUUAUCUUAUGUUUCCCUUCAAUCUCACAGGUUAUAAAUUGGCAUCUUAACUUAUAAAGGAGAUGGAGCCGCUGGAAUAUUCAAAUACUCCAGUUCAAUAUUGUGUUUGAAUUGUGCACCAGUAUCAUGUGGACUAUUGAAGUGAGGGCUUGCUUUGAUAUUUAUUCCCACCAUGUGUGGGGUCUUCCUAUAGGACAGAAGACAAUGGGCCAGAUGACCAUGGACUGAGACCUUCAAAAGUGAACUCAAAUAAACAUCUCCUUUCAAAGAAUUUAGCUCUGCUAAUUGGUUCUACCAAUUGAAAUUAGUAUAGCUGACUAAUACAAUUGCUUUCAAUAUCAUUUGGAGUCACUCUUUUUCAGAAACAUAACUUUGGGCCUGGGGUGAGAGAUGAGUAUUGAGUGCCAGGAUGUAUUUGGCUAAGUGUGAGCUCAGCAACAUUACUAGAAAAAUUAUGCAAUGUGAUUAUUCUAAAGGUGUGGUGAUACUUUAUUUGUGUGAAAUGUGAUAUUUUAUUUGUAUGUUAAUAAAUAAAGUUUGUCUGGAGAUCAGAGGUCAGCAAGCCAUAAACAGAAGUCAGGCGGUGGUAGCCCAUGCCCUUAAUUUGAUCACAUGGCAUUCAGAGUCUCUGUGUGGUCAAGGACACAGUCAAGUGUGGUGACACGAGCCUUUAAUCCCAGUACCAACCAUAGAGACCUGGAGGUCUGUAUAGACAGGUAGUGAUGAAGAAGUCAUGUGGCUGGGCUUAGAGCCAAUGAGAAGGCAGAACAGGAAAGCAAUAAACGCAUAGGUCAGACAGGAAGAAACUCUGUGUGGAAGCUAUUGCUGGUGGUAAGCUAAGGCUAGUCAUGGCUAUUCCCUCUGAGCUUCUUGGCUAUUAUUUCUGUAUUUGGCUCUGUGUUUCUUAUUUAAUAAGACUGUUUAAAAAUUCAUCUACAUAAAGGCAAUGGCACAAAGUCAUCUUCAUGUCUAAUAGGACGAGGCUAGGGUAUUCAUGUUAGACCCUUCUGUUUUUGUCCUUCAAGGGAGAAUGGAGGUGAGCUCUUUACCUGGGAAGGAGUUCUCCUUCUCUUGGUCCUAGGUAAAGCUAUAUGCUCCCAUCUGUUUUGAUAGACACGUGGCUAACAGAAUAUCAGAACCAUAGAAAUAUUAAUAACACUUUAUGCUUAUUGGGUGGGGGUUUCACUGGGUACCAGGCCAACAAGAUUUGUUAAUCAGUCAGAUUUCUGAUACAAUAAGAAAAAAUAUACAAGGCAGCCAACUUAUAAAGGAGAGUUUAUUCUGAUGUAGGGUAUGCAGGUUGUAGCUUAUAACCUAUUGGCCUUGCUGUUUUGGACUUGUGAAAAAACAGGUUCCAACAAUGCUUAUUUUUUGGUCAGAAUGUGAAAAAAAAGAGAUGGAGGGACUGUAUCCUUAUUCUCCUCUUCAAGGGCACGUAUCAAAUGACCUAAGACCCAGGCACCAUCUCUUAGAGAUCCCAACACCUCUAAUAGCACCAAACUGGGACCAAGCCUUUAACAUAACACCUUUGGAGAGCAUCUGAAUAAAAACUAUAGUCCUACACAGCAGCCUGGCCCUUUUAACACUAUUUUUCCUUGUUGUAGAUUAGAUUAUUGUGUAACAGCAUAGGCUUUAUUUACCAAAUGUCCAUGAGCAUGUUUUUUUUUUUCAAAAAUUACUCACAUGGAGAGAGAUACAUGAUUAUAUCUUAAAAAUACAACAUUGAAAAUGAAUCUUUGCUAUUUAUCCUUCUGUGGGAAAACUAGAAAAUAUUAAUUAAACCCAUAUGGUUGAAACCUUUAGAUACCUUUGAGUGUUAGGUCCUAAAGAAUCAGGUCAAAACCCAGAAAAAAUUCAACUGUAUCCCUGCAUUGUUUCCAAGUGUGGUUUCUUGUGGUUUUGUGUGUUGAUCGCCAUUGCUGUAAAGAGAAGCUUCCUUGAUGAACAGUGGUAGCUACACUUAUCUUUAGGUAUAUGGAUGAGAUCUAAAUGUAGGUAGGAAUUAUACUGGUCUUGCGAAGUAGAGUCUCCUCAAAGAUCCAUAAGAUCAUGACUUCACUGGGCUGAGGAGGUUGGCUAGAUAUCUAGUACCAGACUUGGUUUGCCUCCUAUUGAGUGGGUCUUAUAUUGAAUUAGACAGCUGUUGGUUACCACUAACAUAUAAGUCCACUUAUUGCACUUUUAAGAAUAUCUUGCCUUUCUGGUCACUGCUGUGAUUCAUAGGUAUCAUAGCUGAGUAUUUUCUGGUACCACUGAACCUCAGCCACAGGUAGGAGGCUUUCAGGUUGGAUGUAGUAAGAAUAAUGUAAGUUCUGUGUCCUAAGUAUGUGGUAUCUUCAGCAAUAGGGACUUACCUUAAACCUGUGAGAGGCAACCAAAGGCAUUAGCUGUAGUCUAUAUUGUUUUGGGAAUCACUUGGACUACCCUGACCAACCAGUCCAAAGGAUAUUUUUCAUGCCUGAUACUGGUUAGCUUAUAGUUCUUAUGGAAAUCAUUGCCAGAUCUAACAGCAUAUAAGUAUGUUUGUGUGUGUGUGUGUGUGUGUGUGUGUGUGUGUGUGUAAAACAUUUACACCAAGGACCCUAAGUCAACAUAUUUUCAUAGAGAUAGUUGCAUAGUUCUGUAUCUAGUUUUGAGGAACCAUCACACUAAUUUCAGUAAUGGUCCCUGGACCAGCAGCUAUGGAAUCAUGUGGGGAGUUGGUGUUAAACACAACUUUCUGUAUUCACCAAAAUUAAAUCUCUGAUGAGGAGCUAGCCUUCCCCCAUUUUCAGUCUUCAUGUGAUUCUUCUGUGUGACUUUGAGGAUGAUUGCUAUAGAUGAAUGAAAGGCCUUGUGUAAAGAGAACAUUAUGAAGCCAAAGGAGACAUAACAACACAUGAGAGUCCUCUGAAUAACAGGAAAACUUAAUUAAAAGGAAACUAUUUAUUUAUAUGUAGAGGUGUUUUACCUGCAUGUGGACCUAUGCGCCAUGUGCAUGUCUGGUUCCCACAGAGGCCAGAAAAAGGGGCCAGAUACCCUGGGAUUUGAGGUACAGACACCUUGGGUUUGACUUCUAACCCUCUCCCCUAGCUUUCAAGGCAAUGUAGCCUCCAAGAUGAUAAUGCCAUAUCAUGAUAUUUCUGAUUUAUUCUCUAGCAAAAAAGGGGAAGACCUUACUCAGAGAGAAAACUUCCCAGCAGUGUGAGGAAAUUGAGUUCAACUUGGGUAUAAAUCUAGGCAUAAUUAACUUGCUCACCAAAGGUCCUACAGUAACCCCCUUACCUACCUGUGUUUUGAGAAACUGCUCUGAACUAAUGUGUAGUGUGGCCAGUGUUUCGUCUAAAAUAAAGUAGAAUGUCAGUGUUUUCUGUCAAAUAAUAAAACAGUUUCUGCUUGGCCAGGCAGCUUAGAAAACUGUUUACUGGACCUUUCAAAUGUCAGCAGGCACUUCCAUGCUUCCCACAGUGUGAGCAAGAAUAUGUUAGAAAGUGCUCUGCCUUGGAGCUUGGAAGGUGAGCCACUCAGGGCAGAAAGUUCAGCCCAUGCAGCUUUCUUUCUUUUUUUUUUCUUUAUUAAGAAAUUUUUUAUUCAUUUUACAUAUCAACAAUAGAUCCCUCUCUCUUCCCUUUUCCCAUUCCACUCCCCAGCCUUCCCCCCUCCCAACCCACCUCCCAUCCCCUCCUCUGAAAAAGUAAGGCCUCCCCAUGGGGAGUUGGCAAAGCCUGGUACAAUCAGCUGAGGCAGGUCCAAGCCCCUCCCCCUGCAUCAAGGCUGGGCAAGGUGUUUCAUCAUAGGUAGUGGGCUCCAAAAAGACAGCUUAUGCACCAGGGAUAGAUCCUGAUCCUACUGUCAGGGGAUCCUUUAAGAGACCAAGUUACACAACUGUCUCGCUUAUGCAGAGGGCUUAGUCCAGUCUCAUGGAGGCUCCACAGCUGUUGGUCUAAAGUUCAUGAGUUCCCACUAGCUUGGUUUGGUUGUCUCUGUAGGUUUCUCCAUCAUAUUUGAUGCCCCUUGCUUAUAGAAUCUCUCUUCCCUCUCUUUGACUGGACUCCUGGAGCUAGGCCUAGCGCUUGGCUGUGGAUCUCUGCAUCUGCUUCUGUCAGUUACCAGAUGAAGGCUCUGUGAUGGCAGUUAGGGUAUUCAUCAAUCUGAUUACCAUGAUAAGCCAGCUCAGGCACCCUCUCCACUAUUGCUAGUAGUCUAAGCUGGGGUCAUUCUUGUGGAUUCCUGGGAACUUCCUUAUCAGGUUUCUCCCUAUCCCCAUGAUGCCUUCCUCUAUCAAGAUAUCUCUUUCAUUGCUCUCCCACUCCAUCCCUGUUCCAACUCGACCAUCCCAUUUUCUUAGGUCCUAUUUCCCCAUCUCAUAUCCUCUAUUGCCCCCCCCCCACCCCUAGUUUAGUCAGGAGAUCUCAUUUAUUUCCCUCUUCCAGGGUGAUCCAUGUGUCCCUCUUAGGAUCUUCCUUGUUAGCUAGCUUCUCUGGAGCUGUGUGUUGUAGUCUGGUUAUCCUUUGCUUUAUAUCUAGUGUCCACUUAUGAGUGAGUACAUAUCAUGUUUGUCCUUCUGAGUCUGGGUUACCUCACUCAGGACGAUAUUUUCUAGUUCUAUCCAUUUGCCUGCAAAUUUCAUGUUGUCAUUGUUUUAUACUGAUGUACUCCAUUGUGUAUAUGUACCACAUUUUCUUUAUCUGUCCUUUGGUUGAGGGGCAUCUAGAUUGUUUCCAGGCUCUGGCUAUUAUGAAUAAUGCUGCAAUGAACUUAGCUGAGCAAGUGUCCUUGUGGUAUGAUUGAGCAUUUUUUGGGUAUGUGCCCAAGAGUGGUAUCAUUGGACCUUGAGGUAGAUUGAUUCUCAGUUUUCUGAAAAACUUCCAUACUGAUUUCCAAAGUGGCUGUACAAGUUUGAACUCCCACCAACAGUGGAGGAGUGUUCCCCUUGCUCCACAUUCUCUCCAAUAUAAGCUGUUAUCAGUGUUUUUGAUCUUAGCCAUUCUGACAGGUGUAAGAUGGUAUCUCAGAGUCAUUUUGAUUUGCAUUUCCCUGAUAACUAAGGAUGUUGAGCAAUUCCUUAAAUGUCUUUCAGCCAUUUGAGAUUCUUCUGUUGAGAAUUUUCUGUUUAGCUCUGUAUCCCAUUUUUUAAAUUGGAUUGCUUGGUAUUUUCAUGUCUAGUUUUUUGAGUUCUUUAUAUAUUUUGGAGAUCAGCCCUCUGUCAGAUGUGGGGUUGGUGAAGAUCUUUUCCCAUUCUGGAGGCUGCUGUUUUGUCUUAUUUACUGUAUCCUUUGCCUUACAGAAGCUUCUCAGUUUCAGGAGGUCCCAUUUAUUAAUUGUUGCUCUCACUGUCUGUUAUACUGGUGUUAUAUUUAGGAAGUGGUCUCCUGUGCCAACCAUGCAGCUUUUUUGUUUUUGGUUUUUCAAGACAGGGUUUCUCUGUGUAGCUUUGGGCCUUUCCUGGAACUCGCUUUGUAGACCAGGCUGGCCUUGAACUCACAGAGAUCCGCCUACCUCUG